rnacentral:rRNA from 1 species
CCCUUAGAUGUCCUGGGCUGCACGCGUGUUACAAUGGUAUAUUCAGAAAGUUUCGCACUUUUUCCUCGGCGUGCUUUUUGUGGCACGUUUGAAGAAAAAAUCCUGGUUAGAAAUAAUUGGGGAAUCAUGAAAUGUAUAUCGUGACCGGGAUCGACCACUGGAACUAUUGGUCGUGAACGAGGAAUUCCUAGUAAUCGCAUGUCAUCAGCAUGCAAUGAUUACGUCCCUGCCCUUUGUACACACCGCCCGUCGCUUGUACCGAUUGGAUGGUCAAAUGAAAUAUUCUGAUAUAACGAAGACCAAUUGCGGUUUUUGAUAUAAACGAAUAUUAAAUUUGAUUAUCUAGAGGAACAAGAAGUCGUAACA